rnacentral:rRNA from 1 species
UACGGGGGGAGCAAGCGUUGUUCGGAUUUACUGGGCGUAAAGGGCGCGUAGGCGGCGCGACAAGUCACUUGUGAAAUCUCCGGGCUUAACCCGGAGCGGCCAAGUGAUACUGUAGUGCUAGAGUGCGGAAGGGGCUACUGGAAUUCUCGGUGUAGCGGUGAAAUGCGUAGAUAUCGAGAGGAACACCUGCGGCGAAGGCGGGUAGCUGGGCCGACACUGACGCUGAGGAGCGAAAGCGUGGGGAGCGAACAGG